AGUGAACGCUGGCGGCGUGCCUAACACAUGCAAGUCGAACGAUGAUAGGAGAGCUUGCUCUUCUUGAUUAGUGGCGCACGGGUGAGUAAUGCAUAGAUAAUGUGCCCCUUAGUUCGGGAUAGCCACUGGAAACGGUGAUUAAUACCGGAUACUCCUUCUCAUCAUAAGAUGAGUCGGGAAAGUUUUUCGCUAAGGGAUCAGUCUAUGUUCCAUCAGUUAGUUGGUGAGGUAAUGGCUCACCAAGACAAUGACGGAUAUCUGGUUUGAGAGGAUGAUCAGACACACUGGAACUGAGACACGGUCCAGACUCCUACGGGAGGCAGCAGUGAGGAAUAUUGCACAAUGGGGGAAACUCUGAUGCAGCAACGCCGCGUGGAGGAUGACGCAUUUCGGUGUGUAAACUCCUUUUAUUAGGGAAGAUAAUGACGGUACCUAAUGAAUAAGCACCGGCUAACUCCGUGCCAGCCGCCGCAGUAAUAC
rnacentral:rRNA from 1 species